GCACCCGUAGCUCAGCUGGAUAGAGCGACGGAUUCCUAAUCCCUAGCUCUGCGUUCGAGUCACGGUGGGAGCACCA
rnacentral:tRNA from 1 species